GCCAGGCGAGGUGGCGUGUGUCUGUAGUCCUAGCUACUCAGGAGGCUGAGGUGGGAGGAUCGCUUGAGCUUAGGAGUUCUGGGCUGUAGUGCACUAUGCCGAUGGGGUGUCCACACUAAUUUCGGCAUCAAUAUGGUGACCUCCCAGGAGCGGGGAACCACCAGGUUGCCUAAGAAGGGGUGAACCGGCCCAGGUCGGAAACGGAGCAGGUCAAAACUCCCGUGCUGAUCAGUAGUGGGAUCGCGCCUGUGACUAGCCACUGCACUCCAGCCUGGACAACAUAGUGAGACCCCGUCUCU
ensembl:misc_RNA Metazoa_SRP Metazoan signal recognition particle RNA